UUUAUGGAGAGUUUGAUCCUGGCUCAGAGUGAACGCUGGCGGCGUGCCUAAUACAUGCAAGUCGAACGAUGAAGCUUCUAGCUUGCUAGAGUGCUGAUUAGUGGCGCACGGGUGAGUAACGCAUAGGUCAUGUGCCUCUUAGUUUGGGAUAGCCAUUGGAAACGAUGAUUAAUACCAGAUACUCCCUACGGGGGAAAGAUUUAUCGCUAAGAGAUCAGCCUAUGUCCUAUCAGCUUGUUGGUAAGGUAAUGGCUUACCAAGGCUAUGACGGGUAUCCGGCCUGAGAGGGUGAACGGACACACUGGAACUGAGACACGGUCCAGACUCCUACGGGAGGCAGCAGUAGGGAAUAUUGCUCAAUGGGGGAAACCCUGAAGCAGCAACGCCGCGUGGAGGAUGAAGGUUUUAGGAUUGUAAACUCCUUUUGUUAGAGAAGAUAAUGACGGUAUCUAACGAAUAAGCACCGGCUAACUCCGUGCCAGCAGCCGCGGUAAUACGGAGGGUGCAAGCGUUACUCGGAAUCACUGGGCGUAAAGAGCGCGUAGGCGGGAUAGUCAGUCAGGUGUGAAAUCCUAUGGCUUAACCAUAGAACUGCAUUUGAAACUACUAUUCUAGAGUGUGGGAGAGGUAGGUGGAAUUCUUGGUGUAGGGGUAAAAUCCGUAGAGAUCAAGAGGAAUACUCAUUGCGAAGGCGACCUGCUAGAACAUUACUGACGCUGAUUGCGCGAAAGCGUGGGGAGCAAACAGGAUUAGAUACCCUGGUAGUCCACGCCCUAAACGAUGGAUGCUAGUUGUUGGAGGGCUUAGUCUCUCCAGUAAUGCAGCUAACGCAUUAAGCAUCCCGCCUGGGGAGUACGGUCGCAAGAUUAAAACUCAAAGGAAUAGACGGGGACCCGCACAAGCGGUGGAGCAUGUGGUUUAAUUCGAAGAUACACGAAGAACCUUACCUAGGCUUGACAUUGAGAGAAUCCGCUAGAAAUAGUGGAGUGUCUAGCUUGCUAGACCUUGAAAACAGGUGCUGCACGGCUGUCGUCAGCUCGUGUCGUGAGAUGUUGGGUUAAGUCCCGCAACGAGCGCAACCCCCUUUCUUAGUUGCUAACAGGUCAUGCUGAGAACUCUAAGGAUACUGCCUCCGUAAGGAGGAGGAAGGUGGGGACGACGUCAAGUCAUCAUGGCCCUUACGCCUAGGGCUACACACGUGCUACAAUGGGGUGCACAAAGAGAAGCAAUACUGCGAAGUGGAGCCAAUCUUCAAAACGCCUCUCAGUUCGGAUUGUAGGCUGCAACUCGCCUGCAUGAAGCUGGAAUCGCUAGUAAUCGCAAAUCAGCCAUGUUGCGGUGAAUACGUUCCCGGGUCUUGUACUCACCGCCCGUCACACCAUGGGAGUUGUGUUUGCCUUAAGUCAGGAUGCUAAAUUAGCUACUGCCCACGGCACACACAGCGACUGGGGUGAAGUCGUAACAAGGUAACCGUAGGUGAACCUGCGGUUGGAUCACCUCCUUUCUAGA
rnacentral:rRNA from 1 species